rnacentral:rRNA from 1 species
UACGGGGGGAGCAAGCGUUGUUCGGAUUUACUGGGCGUAAAGGGCGCGUAGGCGGUCGUGACAAGUCACUUGUGAAAUCUCCGGGCUUAACUCGGAAAGGUCAAGUGAUACUGUCGGACUAGAGUACAGAAGGGGCAACUGGAAUUCUCGGUGUAGCGGUGAAAUGCGUAGAUAUCGAGAGGAACACCUGCGGCGAAGGCGGGUUGCUGGCUGAUACUGACGCUGAGGCGCGAAAGCUAGGGGAGCGAACGGG